UACGGAGGGAGCUAGCGUUGUUCGGAAUUACUGGGCGUAAAGCGUACGUAGGCGGUUUUUCAAGUCAGAGGUGAAAGCCCGGGGCUCAACCCCGGAACGGCCUUUGAAACUAGAUAGCUAGAGUCUUGGAGAGGUUAGUGGAAUUCCGAGUGUAGAGGUGAAAUUCGUAGAUAUUCGGAAGAACACCAGUGGCGAAGGCGACUAACUGGACAAGUACUGACGCUGAGGUACGAAAGCGUGGGGAGCAAACAGG
rnacentral:rRNA from 1 species